rnacentral:rRNA from 1 species
GACGAACGCUGGCGGCGUGCCUAAUACAUGCAAGUCGAACGAGUGGCGGCCGGGUGAGUAACACGUGGGAACCUACCCAUCAGAGGGGGAUAACACUUGGAAACAGGUGCUAAUACCGCGUACAAUAGGCUGAGCUCGAGUGGGAUUAGGUAGUUGGGGGGGUAAUGGCAGACCAAGCCGACGAGCUAUAGCUGGUCUGAGAGGAGGACCGGCCACACCGGGACUGAGACACGGCCCAGACUCCUGCGGGAGGCAGCAGUGGGGAAUAUUGCGCAAUGGGGGCAACCUGACGCAGCCAUGCCGGGUGUAUGAAGAAGGGCUUCGGUUUGUAAAGUACUUUCAGUGUCGAGGCGUUAUUCACAGAAGAAUCACCGGCUGACUCCGGGCCAGCAGCCGCGGUAAUAC